rnacentral:rRNA from 1 species
UAGGGAAUCUUCCACAAUGGACGCAAGUCUGAUGGAGCAACGCCGCGUGAGUGAAGAAGGUUUUCGGACCGUAAAGCUCUGUUGUUGGUGAAGAAGGAUAGAGGUAGUAACUGGCCUUUAUUUGACGGUAAUCAACCAGAAAGUCACGGCUAACUACGUGCCAGCAGCCGCGGUAAUACGUAGGUGGCAAGCGUUGUCCGGAUUUAUUGGGCGUAAAGCGAGCGCAGGCGGAAGAAUAAGUCUGAUGUGAAAGCCCUCGGCUUAACCGAGGAAUUGCAUCGGAAACUGUUUUCUUGAGUGCAGAAGAGGAGAGUAGAACUCCAUGUGUAGCGGUGGAAUGCGUAGAUAUAUGGAAGAAUACCAGUGGCGAAGGCGGCUCUCUGGUCUGCAACUGACGCUGAGGCUCGAAAGCAUGGGUGGCGAACAGGAUUAGAUACCCUGGUAGUCCAUGCCGUAAACGAUGAGUGCUAAGUGUUGGGAGGCUUCCGCCUCUCAGUGCUGCAGCUAACGCAUUAAGCACUCCGCCUGGGGGAGUACGACCGCAAGGUUGAAAC